rnacentral:rRNA from 1 species
AUUGAACGCUGGCGGCAGGCCUAACACAUGCAAGUCGAGCGGAGCGGCGGACGGGUGAGUAAUGCCUAGGAAUCUGCCUGGUAUUGGGGGAUAACGUCCGGAAACGGGCUCUAAUACCGCAUACUAUCAGAUGAGCCUAGGUCGGAUUAGCUAGUUGGUGGGGUAAAGGCCUACCAAGUCGACGCUCCGUAACUGGUCUGAGAGGAUGAUCAGGCACACUGGAAUUGAGACACGGCCCAGACUCAUACGGGAGGCAGCAGUGGGGAAUAUUGGAUAAGGGGCGAAAGCCGUAUCCAGCCAUGCCGCGUGUGUGAAGAAGGUCGUCGGAUUGUAAAGCACUUUUAGUUGGGAGGCGUUACCAACAGAAUAAGCACCGGCUAAAUUCGUGCCAGCCGCCGCGGUAAUAC